GUAAGGGGGAGCUCAUCAUGGCCAACAAAGGAACAUACAAGCAAGAAGACAAGAAGGUGGUGGUUUGUGACCAUUGCAAGAAAAGAGGUCACAUAAAAGACAAAUGUUGGAUCCUCCAUCCCCAUCCCAAGCCGGCUAAGUUCAAGGCGAAUAUCUCGCAAGAAGCAAGGCAAGAAGGCGGUUCCGGAUCGAGCAAACAAGGAGAGGAAGUGGCCAUGGCUGCAUCUCAUUGUGAUGUUGUGAGAAAAUCAGACUUGGAAGCUCUCAUACGAUCCAUUGCCUCACUUAAGGAAUCCGGAUAUUAAGACCGGGAAAAGACUUGGAGAAGGAAAUGCCAAAGGAGAUCUUUAUAUUCUUGAGAAAACCUUACCAAGUUCUUCUACUUCGUUUAAUGCUUGUCUUGCUUUAAGUUCUAAUGCCGUGUGGCAUGCUAGAUUAGGCCAUCCUCACUCUCGUGCUCUUGAAUUGAUGUUGCCUAAUGUUUCAUUUGAUAGUUCUAGUUGUGAGUCUUGUAUUCUUGGUAAACAUUGCAAGUCUAUUUUCCCUAAAUCUAAGACCAUUUAUGAAAAUUGCUUUGAUUUAGUGCAUUCGGAUGUUUGGACUUCA